rnacentral:rRNA from 1 species
UAGGGAAUUUUCCACAAUGGGCGAAAGCCUGAUGGAGCGACGCCGCGUGCAGGAUGAAGGCCUUCGGGUUGUAAACUGCUUUUAAUAGUGAAGAUUAUGACGGUAACUAUUGAAUAAGGACCUGCUAACUACGUGCCAGCAGCCGCGGUCAUACGUAGGGUCCAAGCGUUAUCCGGAAUUACUGGGCGUAAAGAGUUGCGUAGGUGGCAUAGAAAGCGGACAGUGAAAGCGUGUGGCUCAACCAUACAUCCAUUGUUCUGAACUCCUAAGCUAGAGAACGAGAGAGGUAGAUGGAAUUCCUGAUGUAGGGGUAAUAUCCGUAGAUAUCAGGAGGAACACCGAUGGCGUAGGCAGUCUACUGGCUCGUUUCUGACACUAAGGCACGAAAGCGUGGGGAGCAAACAGG